rnacentral:rRNA from 1 species
UACGACUCUCGGCAACGGAUAUCUUGGCUCUCGCAUCGAUGAAGAACGCAGCGAAAUGCGAUACUUGGUGUGAAUUGCAGAAUCCCGUGAACCAUCGAGUCUUUGAACGCAAGUUGCGCCCGAGGCUAUCCGGCCGAGGGCAC